rnacentral:lncRNA from 1 species
UGAGAGUAAAGUUCGGGCCCGACCGGAGACUCGGCUGCUCGGCGGUACCCUGCUUCCGGCGCGCGCGGCGCGCGUCAAGAAGUGCGGGUAAGUCUGACGGUCAAUCGGGUCAGGAUCCGCAGGCUCGACACUCAAGCAUAUACUGGCUGGUUGCGUAUCUGUAUAUAUAACUAGGCUCCUCAGGGGCAUAGGAGGCAAAAGACAUAACACCAGGUCGGUAUGGG